AUGUGCUGGAACGUUUGAGGGCUCAACUCACCAGCCCGGCGAGCCGUAGUGUGCCAGACGGCAGAGACACACAAGCUGGCUCUUCUCUGCCUGCAAGAGACCAAGAUCGACGAGUGGAGUAGAUCGUUAGUUAGAGAGGUAGGCGGGAGCAGACUCGCUGACUGCGUCGUCCUCCCGGCAGAUGGCACUAGAGGAGGCGCGGCGAUCUUUUGGCACAAAAGCCGCGUAGACGUGCAAUCCCACGCCAUCGGUCGUUUCUCCAUCACGGCCAAAAUCACUCUUGCGGCAACAGCUUCAUCCUUCUGGAUGACGAUGGUGUAUGGACCCAUCGACGACGGGAGGAACGAUGAGUUCCUGGCCGAGCUAGCCCGAACUGCACCGGCAACAAACGACCCCUGGCUCAUCAAUGGCGACUUCAACCUGAUCUACGAGGCGAGAGACAAGAACAACAGCAAUAUAAACCGCAGAAUCAUGGGCCACUUCGGGCUACAAUAG
rnacentral:rRNA from 1 species